GGUGACGUGUCGGAUUUGGGCGUAAAGGGCUCGCAGGCGGUUUCUUAAGUCUGAUGUGAAAGCCCCCGGCUCAACCGGGGAGGGUCAUUGGAAACUGGGAAACUUGAGUGCAGAAGAGGAGAGUGGAAUUCCACGUGUAGCGGUGAAAUGCGUAGAGAUGUGGAGGAACACCAGUGGCGAAGGCGACUCUCUGGUCUGUAACUGACGCUGAGGAGCGAAAGCGUGGGGAGCGAACAGGAUUAGAUACCCUGGUAGUCCACGCCGUAAACGAUGAGUGCUAAGUGUUAGGGGGUUUCCGCCCCUUAGUGCUGCAGCUAACGCAUUAAGCACUCCGCCUGGGGAGUACGGUCGCAAGACUGAAACUCAAAGGAAUUGACGGGGGCCCGCACAAGCGGUGGAGCAUGUGGUUUAAUUCGAAGCAACGCGAAGAACCUUACCAGGUCUUGACAUCCUCUGACAACCCUAGAGAUAGGGCUUUCCCUUCGGGGACAGAGUGACAGGUGGUGCAUGGUUGUCGUCAGCUCGUGUCGUGAGAUGUUGGGUUAAGUCCCGCAACGAGCGCAACCCUUGAUCUUAGUUGCCAGCAUUUAGUUGGGCACUCUAAGGUGACUGCCGGUGACAAACCGGAGGAAGGUGGGGAUGACGUCAAAUCAUCAUGCCCCUUAUGACCUGGGCUACACACGUGCUACAAUGGACAGAACAAAGGGCUGCGAGACCGCAAGGUUUAGCCAAUCCCAUAAAUCUGUUCUCAGUUCGGAUCGCAGUCUGCAACUCGACUGCGUGAAGCUGGAAUCGCUAGUAAUCGCGGAUCAGCAUGCCGCGGGUGAAUACGUUCCCGGGCCUUGUACACACCGCCCGUCACACCACGAGAGUUUGCAACACCCGAAGUCGGUGAGGUAACCUUUAUGGAGCCAGCCGCCGAAGGUGGGGCAGAUGAUUGGGGUGAAUCUACAAGGUAAAACACACAUAUAAAGGCUU
rnacentral:rRNA from 1 species